rnacentral:rRNA from 1 species
UACGAAGGGGGCUAGCGUUGUUCGGAUUUACUGGGCGUAAAGCGCACGUAGGCGGUUCGAUCAGUCAGGGGUGAAAUCCCAGAGCUCAACUCUGGAACUGCCUUUGAUACUGUCGAUCUGGAGUAUGGAAGAGGUGAGUGGAAUUCCGAGUGUAGAGGUGAAAUUCGUAGAUAUCGGGAGGAACACCAGUGGCGAAGGCGGCGAUCUGGGAAGAUACUGACGCUGAGGUGCGAAAGCGUGGGGAGCAAACAGG